UACGUAGGGUCCAAGCGUUGUCCGGAGUUACUGGGCGUAAAGCGCGCGCAGGCGGCUUCAUAAGUCUGGCGUGAAAGCCCCCGGCUCAACCGGGGAGGGUCGUCGGAGACUGUGGAGCUUGAGGGCGGUAGGGGCUGGUGGAAUUCCCGGUGUAGCGGUGAAAUGCGUAGAGAUCGGGAGGAACACCAGCGGCGAAGGCGGCAAACUGGAUAGAUACUGACACUCAACAACGAAAGCGUGGGGAGCAAACAGG
rnacentral:rRNA from 1 species